GACGAACGCUGGCGGCGUGCCUAAUACAUGCAAGUCGAGCGCAGGAAGCUGACGGAACUCUUCGGAGGGAAGGCAGUGGAAUGAGCGGCGGACGGGUGAGUAACACGUAAGGAACCUGCCUCAAGGAUUGGGAUAACUCCGAGAAAUCGGAGCUAAUACCGGAUAGUUCAACGGACCGCAUGGUCCGCUGAUGAAAGGCGCUUCGGCGUCACCUUGAGAUGGCCUUGCGGUGCAUUAGCUAGUUGGUGGGGUAACGGCCUACCAAGGCGACAGUGCAUAGGAGGCCGGAGAGGGGGAUCGGCCACACUGGGACUGAGACACGGCCCAGACUCCUACGGGAGGAAGCAGUAGGGAAUCUUCCACAAUGGGCGAAAGUCUGAUGGAGCAACGCCGCGUGAGUGAUGAAGGUUUUCGGAUCGUAAAACUCUGUUGUAAGGGAAGAACACGUACGAGAGGGAAUGCUCGUACCUUGACGGUACCUUACGAGAAAGCCACGGCUAACUACGUGCCAGCCGCCGCAGUAA
rnacentral:rRNA from 1 species